rnacentral:siRNA from 1 species
UGGAGUUACAGAUCGUAGUUGC